GUGAACACAAACACACCUCUGUACUCACAGCCAAUAGGAGCUGAGCCUGGAUGUACUCGUCCACAUCAUGGAGCCCGGUUACUGUGGAAACACAACAGGACAUGAGUCCUGAGAGCUGAAGAAGGACAGGUGAGGACAGAUGAAAAGGUGAGGACAGGUGAGGACAGGUGAAGAGGUGAGGACAGGUGAGGACAGGUGAGGACAGGUGAAAAGGUGAGGACAGGUGAGCGUCUCACCGUCUGGAGCUCCAUCACAGACCACGAGGUCGGCCGGCUGACCCUCAAAGU